AUGUCGUCGUUCGCCGGCGUCGAUCUGUGCCCCCCUUGCGCCGGGUCGGCCUGCGAAACCAGCGCGGACUGCGGGUACCACCUGCUCGUGGUCCAGGACUACUCGCGCGCCAAGGAGAAGGCGCCUACCGGGGAGAGCAUCAUCUCCCGGCCCUUCAGGGUCGGAUGCCACACGUGGCAGAUCGAGCUCUUCCCCAACGGCGACAACCCGAGCUGCGCCGACUUCGUCUCUCUCUACGUCUGCCGUCUCGACGACUAUCUCAACAAUGCCGUGGAUGCCAAGUUCAGUCUCAGUUUCGUCGACCAGGCCGAGAAGCAGAAGCCGGUGUACAUUCUUGGGACCGAGACGUGCAGCUUCCCCCAUGGCGGUUCCCGAGGCCACCGCAAGUUCAUGAGGAAAGACGCCCUUGAACGGUCGGAGAAUAUGCGGCGUGAUGGUUUCACCGUCCGCUGCGACAUCAUGAUCUGCUGCGAGGAGGAUGAUGCCAGUGGCACCGGCCCGCCUCGCUACAUAUGCCAGCAUUUUAGCACUCUCCUUGAGAGUAAGGUGGGUGCUGAUGUGACAUUCGAGGUCAGCGGCGAGACAUUCGCUGCGCACCGGUGCGUGCUUGCUGCCCGGUCGACGGUCUUCAUGGCGCAGCUCUUUGGCCCCAUGAAGGAGGGCACCACGUCCAGUGUCAUACGGAUCGAAGACAUGGAGGCAAAAGUGUUCAGGGCUUUGCUUAGGUUCAUCUACACAGAUUCAUUCCCUGAGAUGGAGAAGGAAUGCGUGCGGGAGGAAGCACAAGAUGUGGAACAAGGACAAGAAGAGGAUGAAAUGCAUCUGCAAUGGCUGCGAGGCUUAUUUACGGCGGCAGACAGAUAUGACCUCCAACACCUCAAGUUCAUCUGUGAAAAGCGGUUGUCUGAGGACAUAGGUGUGAGUUCGGUGGCGUCCACUCUUGUUCUGGCCGAGCAGCACGACUGCAGCGGGUUGAAGAUGGCGUGCUUCAAGUUUAUUCAAGCUCAAUCUUCCUCCUGUUUGAAAAGGGUAAUGUCAACUAAUGGCUGGGGGCAUUUAAUGACGACUUACCCCUCUAUUUUGAAUGAGGUCAUUGCCAAGCUUGCUUCGAAAAAGCGUAAGAAGCACUCUACAUAG
rnacentral:rRNA from 1 species